GUCUACGGCCAUACCACCGUGGACGCACCCGAUCUCGUCUGAUCUCGGAAGCUAAGCAGGGUCGGGCCUGGUUAGUACUUGGAAAACUAGAAGGUUUCUGAAGACA
rnacentral:rRNA from 1 species